rnacentral:rRNA from 1 species
CCAGAGUACCACGAGACACGUGAAACCUUGUGGGAAGCAGGGAGGACCACCUCCCAAGGCUAAAUACUACCUGAUGACCGAUAGUGAAGCAGUACCGUGAGGGAAAGGUGAAAAGAACCCCGGGAGGGGAGUGAAAUAGAACCUGAAACCGUGUGCCUACAACCGCUCAGAGCCCCUUAUGAGGGUGAUGAGGUGCUUUUUGUAGAACGAGCCAACGAGUUACGGUAUGUAGCAAGGUUAAGUACUUAAGGUACGGAGCCGAAGGGAAACCGAGUCUGAAUAGGGCGACUAGUUGCAUGCCGUAGACCCGAAACCGGGUGACCUAUCCAUGGCCAGGUUGAAGCGAGGGUAAAACCUCGUGGAGGACCGAACCACGUUGCUGUUGAAAAAGCAUGGGAUGAGCUGUGGAUAGCGGAGAAAUUCCAAUCGAACCCGGAGAUAGCUGGUUCUCUCCGAAAUAGCUUUAGGGCUAGCGUCGAGUAUGAGUAGUGGAGGUAGAGCACUGAAUGGGCUAGGGGGCAUAGCGCUUACCGAACCUUAUCAAACUCCGAAUGCCACAUACUUUGAGCUCGGCAGUCAGACUACGAAUGAUAAGAUCCGUGGUCAAAAGGGAAACAGCCCAGAUCGUCAGCUAAGGUCCCAAAGUGUAAGUUAAGUGGAAAAGGAUGUGGGAUUUCUAAGACAACUAGGAUGUUGGCUUAGAAGCAGCCACUCAUUAAAAGAGUGCGUAAUAGCUCACUAGUCAAGAGAUCCUGCGCCGAAAAUGUCCGGGGCUCAAACUUACCACCGAAGCUACGGGUUCAUACUUUGUAUGAGCGGUAGAGGAGCGUCGUAAUCGGGCUGAAGUCGUACCGUAAGGAGCGGUGGACUGAUUACGAGUGAGAAUGUUGGCAUUAGUAGCGAGAUGUAGGUGAGAAUCCUACAGGCCGAAUAUCUAAGGUUUCCUGAGUAAAGUUUGUCUUCUCAGGGUUAGUCGGGACCUAAGGCGAGGCCGAGAGGCGUAGUCGAUGGACAAUUGGUUGAUAUUCCAAUACCACUAUAAUCGUUAUUAUCGAUGGUGUGACGGAGAAGGAUAGGAUGUGCCAGCUAUUGGAUGCUGGUCUAAGCGUUGAGGGAGUUAGAACAGGCAAAUCCGUUCUAACAAUCCUAGGGCGUGAUGGGGAAGGUUCCACGGAACCGAAGUAUCUGAUUUCAUGCUUCCAAGAAAAGCAUCUAGAAAGAGAAGUAGUGCCCGUACCGCAAACCGACACAGGUAGAUGAGGAGAGAAUCCUAAGGCCGACGGAAGAAUCACAGUUAAGGAACUAGGCAAAUUGACCCCGUAACUUCGGGAGAAGGGGUGCCUACCAUUUGGUAGGCCGCAGAGAAUAGGCACAAGCAACUGUUUAACAAAAACACAGGUCUCUGCUAAAGCGUAAGCUGAUGUAUAGGGGCUGACGCCUGCCCGGUGCUGGAAGGUUAAGGGGAACACUUAGCGCAAGCGAAGGUGUGAACUUAAGCCCCAGUAAACGGCGGCCGUAACUAUAACGGUCCUAAGGUAGCGAAAUUCCUUGUCAGGUAAGUUCUGACCCGCACGAAUGGCGUAAUGACUUGGGCACUGUCUCAACUGUAAAUCCGGCGAAGUUGUAGUGCGAGUGAAGAUGCUCGCUACCCGCGAUUGGACGGAAAGACCCCGUAGAGCUUUACUGUAGCUUAGCAUUGAAUUUCGGUAUUGUCUGUACAGGAUAGGUGGGAGACUGGGAAAUUAGGGCGUCAGCCUUAAUGGAGUCGUUGUUGGGAUACCACCCUGAUAGUAUUGAAGUUCUAACUGGAUGCCAUGAAACUGGUGACAGGACAUUGUUAGGUGGGCAGUUUGACUGGGGCGGUCGCCUCCUAAAAUGUAACGGAGGCGCCCAAAGGUUCCCUCAGAACGGUCGGAAAUCGUUCGUAGAGUGUAAAGGCAUAAGGGAGCCUGACUGCGAGACCUACAAGUCGAGCAGGGACGAAAGUCGGGCUUAGUGAUCCGGUGGUACCUCGUGGGAGGGCCAUCGCUCAACGGAUAAAAGCUACCUCGGGGAUAACAGGCUGAUCUCCCCCAAGAGUUCACAUCGACGGGGAGGUUUGGCACCUCGAUGUCGGCUCGUCGCAUCCUGGGGCUGUAGUCGGUCCCAAGGGUUGGGCUGUUCGCCCAUUAAAGCGGCACGCGAGCUGGGUUCAGAACGUCGUGAGACAGUUCGGUCCCUAUCCGUCGCGGGCGUAGGAAAUUUGAGAGGAGCUGUCCUUAGUACGAGAGGACCGGGAUGGACUGACCUAUGGUGUACCAGUUGUUUCGCCAGAAGCAUAGCUGGGUAGCUAAGUCGGGAAGGGAUAAACGCUGAAAGCAUCUAAGUGUGAAGCCCACCUCAAGAUGAGAUUUCCCAUAGCAUAAGCUAGUAAGACCCCUUGAAGACUACAAGGUUGAUAGGUCAGAGGUGUAAGUGCGGUAACGUAUUUAGCUGACUGAUACUAAUAGGUCGAGGGCUUGACCAA